rnacentral:rRNA from 1 species
GCCGCGGUAAAACGUAGGACGCAAGCGUUAUCCGGAAUUACUGGGCGUAAAGAGCGUGUAGGCGGAUGCUUAAGUCAGCCGUGAAAGCUCCCGGCUAAACUGGGAGAGGUCGGUUGAUACUGGGUGUCUAGAGGACGAUAGAGGGGUGCGGAAUUCCGGGUGUAGUGGUGAAAUGCGUAGAUAUCCGGAGGAACACCAGAGGCGAAGGCGGCGCCCUGGAUCGUGCCUGACGCUGAGACGCGAAAGCAUGGGUAGCGAACGGGAUUAGAAACCCCGGUAGUCCAUGCCGUAAACGAUGCACACUAGAUGUUCGCGUACCUACGGGUGCGUGAGUGUCGCAGCAAACGCGGUAAGUGUGCCGCCUGGGGAGUACGGUCGCAAGGCUAAAACUCAAAGGAAUUGACGGGGGCCCGCACAAGCAGCGGAGCGUGUGGUUUAAUUCGAGGCUACGCGAAGAACCUUACCUGGGCUUGACAUCCCACGAACAAACCUGAAAAGGGGCGGUUCCUUCGGGACGUGGAGACAGGUGCUGCAUGGCUGUCGUCAGCUCGUGUCGUGAGAUGUUCGGUUAAGUCCGAAAACGAGCGCAACCCUCGGUGUUAGUUACAAGUGUCUAACACGACUGCCUGCGGCAAGCAGGAGGAAGGUGGGGAUGACGUCAAGUCAGCAUGGCCUUUAUGUCCAGGGCUACACACACGCUACAAUGGCGCGUACAAUGGGUCGCGAAACCGCGAGGUGGAGCCAAUCCUGCAAAGCGCGUCGUAGUUCGGAUUGUAGGCUGCAACUCGCCUGCAUGAAGUCGGAGUUGCUAGUAACCGCAGAUCAGCACGCUGCGGUGAAUACGUUCCCGGGCCUUGCACACACCGCCCGUC